CGGACGGGUGAGUAAUGCCUGGGAAAUUGCCCAGUCGAGGGGGAUAACAGUUGGAAACGACUGCUAAUACCGCAUACGCCCUACGGGGGAAAGCAGGGGACCUUCGGGCCUUGCGCGAUUGGAUAUGCCCAGGUGGGAUUAGCUAGUUGGUGAGGUAAUGGCUCACCAAGGCGACGAUCCCUAGCUGGUCUGAGAGGAUGAUCAGCCACACUGGAACUGAGACACGGUCCAG
rnacentral:rRNA from 1 species